rnacentral:rRNA from 1 species
GACGAACGCUGGCGGCGUGCUUAACACAUGCAAGUCGAACGGAAAGGCCCUGCUUUUGUGGGUUGCUCGAUUGGCGAACGGGUGAGUAAAACGUGAGUAACCUGCCCUUGACUUUGGGAUAACUUCAGGAAACUGGGGCUAAUACCGGAUAGAAUCUCCUGCUGCAUGGUGGGGGUUGGAAAGUUUCGGCGGUUGGGGAUGGACUCGCGGCUUAUCAGCUUGUUGGUGGGGUAGUGGCUUACCAAGGCUUUGACGGGUAGCCGGCCUGAGAGGGUGACCGGCCACAUUGGGACUGAGAUACGGCCCAGACUCCUACGGGAGGCAGCAGUGGGGAAUAUUGCACAAUGGGCGGAAGCCUGAUGCAGCAACGCCGCGUGCGGGAUGACGGCCUUCGGGUUGUAAACCGCUUUCGCCUGUGACGAAGCGUGAGUGACGGUAAUGGGUAAAGAAGCACCGGCUAACUACGUG